rnacentral:rRNA from 1 species
AACAAACGCUGGCGGCGUGCCUAAUACAUGCAAGUCGAACGGUGUAGCAAUACCUAGUGGCGCACGGGUGAGGAACGCGUGGAUAAUCUGCCUUAGAGUGGGGGAUAACUAGUCGAAAGAUUAGCUAAUACCGCAUAAGACCACAGGAGCUGCGGCUCUAGGGGUCAAAGGUUUUUCGCUCUAAGAUGAGUCCGCGUAAGAUUAGCUAGUUGGUGAGGUAACGGCUCACCAAGGCGACGAUCUUUAACUGGUCUGAGAGGAUGAUCAGUCACACUGGAACUGAGACACGGUCCAGACUCCUACGGGAGGCAGCAGUAGGGAAUAUUGCACAAUGGAGGAAACUCUGAUGCAGCGACGCCGCGUGAGUGAUGAAGGCCUUCGGGUCGUAAAGCUCUGUCGCAGGGGAAUAACACAAUGGAUGUACCCUGUAAGAAAGGAUCGGCUAACUUCGUGCCAGCCGCCGCAGUAACAC